rnacentral:rRNA from 1 species
GUGGGGAAUAUUCCGCAAUGGACGAAAGUCUGACGGAGCAACGCCGCGUGAGUGAUGAAGGUUUUCGGACUGUAAAGCUCUGUUGUUUAGGACGAAAGUGCCUGUUGCAAAUAGUUACAGGUAUUGACGGUACUGAACGAGGAAGCCACGGCUAACUACGUGCCAGCAGCCGCGGUAAUACGUAGGUGGCAAGCGUUGUCCGGAAUUAUUGGGCGUAAAGAGCAUGUAGGCGGGAAUCUAAGUCUGUUGUGAAAAUGCGGGGCUCAACCCCGUAUUGCGAUGGAAACUGGGUUUCUUGAGUGCAGGAGAGGAAAGGGGGAUUCCCAGUGUAGCGGUGAAAUGCGUAGAUAUUGGGAGGAACACCAGUGGCGAAGGCGCCUUUCUGGACUGUGUCUGACACUGAGAUGCGAAAGCCAGGGUAGCAAACGGGAUUAGAAACCCUUGUAGUCC